UACGUAGGGGGCAAGCGUUAUCCGGAUUUACUGGGUGUAAAGGGAGCGCAGACGGCAGCGCAAGUCUGAUGUGAAAUCCCGGGGCUCAACCCCGGAACUGCAUUGGAAACUGCGCAGCUCGAGUAUCGGAGAGGUAAGCGGAAUUCCUAGUGUAGCGGUGAAAUGCGUAGAUAUUAGGAGGAACACCGGCGGCGAAGGCGGCUUACUGGACGAAGACUGACGUUGAGGCUCGAAAGCGUGGGGAGCAAACAGGAUUAGAUACCCUGGUAGU
rnacentral:rRNA from 1 species